rnacentral:tRNA from 1 species
GCUUGCUUAGCUCAGUUGGUAGAGCAUCUGUCUUGUAAACAGAAGGUCGCAAGUUCAAACCUUGCAGCAAGCA